rnacentral:rRNA from 1 species
UCCUACGGGAGGCAGCAGUGGGGAAUUUUGGACAAUGGGCGAAAGCCUGAUCCAGCCAUGCCGCGUGAGUGAAGAAGGCCUUCGGGUUGUAAAGCUCUUUUAGUCGGAAAGAAAAAGUCACUGGUUAAUAGCCAUGAUUUAUGACGGUACCGACAG